rnacentral:lncRNA from 1 species
CAAGCAUAGCGUGUUAUUCAUACGCCUGCGCAGUCCAAUAAGUAGAUCACAGAGACCGGCAGAUGUGAAACAGAGCCGAGAUUGAUUGUGAUGAAAGAGAAACAACAGAAUUGCCAUGUAUCGAGGGUUUAUGUGGGAAGACGUGGCUGGGAAGUAACCUUAGCAACCGAUGAAUCCUGAACAGCCUGCAGAGUUGCUUUACGUAGAAGCAUUAUUUCAUCGCCGACGUCCCAUUUUCAGCACCUUGGACAACGACGAGCACGCUUCACAGUGCGACACGCUGAGGGGAAAAAGGGAUUCUGUAUCUAAAGACCCCGUAAUAAUCAAGGCAACAUGGGAACUGUACUCUCAGUGUCCCCGAGCUACCGAAAGGCAGGCCUGUUUGAUGAAAAACCACCCCCUCUGGCACAUUAUACAGCUGUGCAGAACAGUAAAAACGCCAAGGACAAGAGCCUGAAACGGCAGUCACUCAUCAAUGUCCUGCCAUGGAAGCGCAUUGUGGCAGCUUCGGCCAAGAGAAAAGGUUCUAAGAAGCUGGCCUCUGAACUACACACUUUUUAAAAAUAUUUGUUUAUGAUUUGAUGGUCACAAUUUUUCUAUGACAUUCUUUUGGACGGUGUUCCAAGAAUAAUGUGCCAUAAAGACAUAAAAGUUAUAAAAGCCAGCUUGAAGUAGACUAAGUUUUUGUAGCCUUCUCAUUAGGAAAGGGAUAUUUUUGAAGGAGCAAAAGAGAAGGGACAUUAUGGAAAGACUUGAGCCAGAGACAUACAAUGUCACAAAUAUUUUGUUAAAAAAGAAAGGAAAAAUUGCUUGCAUUAUUAGAAAAUCGCCAUGUUUUUAGUCCAUUAUAGGUCCAGAAUACUAUUUUCAUAAUUAUGCAUGCAUAAAAACAAAACCCUACAGUUAUUUUAAAUACACGAAAGCCCUAUAUCAGAUACAAGAAACUCUAAAACCAGUGCAAAACAUAAUAGUGCAAGGGUCACGUGCAAAAUAGACCAUAAAUAACCAUUGUUAAUUAAAUUAGAAAAGGGUUAUUUUACCGUUUUAAGUCAGCCUGUUAAAAUAAAGCACUUACAAAAAUGAUAAAUGUUAAUUUAGCCCAAAACACUUCUUUUUAGUCUUCUUUUUUCUGCAUUUUAAUGCUCUCUCACAUAUCUGAGAUUGAGUAUUAACAAAUUUGAGAGCACAGUUGAUUUUACUUCCAUCAUUUGACACAAAUUGCAAACCAGUGUUAAUAGUAGAUUGGUUGCUGAUGAGAUAUUUUGAAGUGAUGUGGUCAGUAAUCAUCCUGAGAACGAGGUGCCGUCAUUCUGUGAAUGAGAGAUUUUUCACGAGCAUUUUCUCCAUACAUUGUUCACUCACUAUUCAAGCUUCUGCAUGUGACAUGACAAGUGCAGUUUUUGUUAAAGUUGAUGAACAGCGAUGAAGGAGUGACUUUAAAGCAGUUCGCAGGUGUAAUAUUAACAUUUGCAAAGCGUGCGUUUGAAUAGAUUUUUGAGUCUUAAACGUCUUCUAUAGAAGUACAGCAGCUUUUCAAUAUGCAAAUGAUGAGAUACUGAUGACAUGUAAGAUACUAAAAUGAAUUACCUGUAGCACACAAAAACUGAUCAAAUCAACUUAGCAAUAUGCACAUUUGAAGUUUUAAAGAUCAAUGACAGUCAAAAGCUAACAGACCACCGUCUUUAAACCCAUUUAUUUGUCUUUUGUCAGUUAAAUAGCUUUUUUCCUGUUUCUGUAUGGGAUCAUUUAAACAAAAGGCUAUUUACAUAUUUCUGAUCACUUGCUGAUAACACAUUUACAUUUAUCCCCGUAUUUUGUGUUUGGCCUCAUUCUGAUAAAACACUGAUGGUGCAAUUAAUGCAGAUAUCCCCUAUUACCCAUAACAAGACCUUUCUCAUUGGUUAGCUGAAUGUAGUGAAGUUUUGUACAUAAGGCAAAAAGACUGGAUAUGCAUUGAUGCUACUACAAAAAUGGCUCCAUUGGUGUACGGGAUACUGGAUGUGAUGAGAAACUGAUCGUAAUAGAUUGGUGUGGAGAAAGGCCAUUAAUUACAACAACUCUGUCUUGUCAUAGAUAAUGAAAGAGGCGAAAUGUGAUACUAUGUUUUAUACAAUUUUUGUGGUUGAUGUAACAUUCUUCAAGAAAAAAAAAAAAAAAACUGUACAGC